GACGAACGCUGGCGGCGUGCUUAACACAUGCAAGUCGAACGGAAAGGCCCUGCUUUUGUGGGGUGCUCGAGUGGCGAACGGGUGAGUAACACGUGAGUAACCUACCCUUGACUUUGGGAUAACUUCAAGAAGCUGGGGCUAAUACAUGAUAGGAACUCCUGCUGCAUGGUGGGGGGUGGAAAGUUUCGGCGGUUGGGGAUGGACUCGCGGCUUAUCAGCUUGUUGGUGGGGUAGUGGCUUACCAAGGCUUUGAUGGGUAGCCGGCCUGAGAGGGUGACACGCCACAUAGGGACUGAGAUAGGGCCCAGACGGCUACGGGAGGCAGCAGUGGGAAAUAUUGCACAAUGGGCGGAAGCCUGAUGCAGCAACGCCGCGUGCGGGAUGACGGUCUUCGGGUUGUAAACCGCUUCCGCCUGUGACGAAGCGGGAGUGACGGUAAUGGGUAAAGAAGCACCGGCUAACUACGUG
rnacentral:rRNA from 1 species